UGAAAACAUGAAUGGGAAUGAAUUGAAUUC
rnacentral:piRNA from 1 species